UACGUAGGGGGCGAGCGUUAAUCGGAAUUACUGGGCGUAAAGCGUGCGCAGGCGGUUGUGCAAGACAGAGGUGAAAUCCCCGGGCUUAACCUGGGAACUGCAUUUGUGACUGCAAGGCUGGAGUGCGGCAGAGGGGGAUGGAAUUCCGCGUGUAGCAGUGAAAUGCGUAGAUAUGCGGAGGAACACCGAUGGCGAAGGCAAUCCCCUGGGCCUGCACUGACGCUCAUGCACGAAAGCGUGGGGAGCAAACAGG
rnacentral:rRNA from 1 species